rnacentral:lncRNA from 1 species
CUAUCAUUGCUGCUAUUGCCAUACGCAUCACCAUCAUUUUCAUCUCCACAACCUAGACAGCACCCUUGUAAUCACCAUCGCCAUCACGAUCUCUACCACGUUACUGCCAUUGUUGUUUGUUGCAUCCACCACAUGAUUGGUGUAUCUCAUUAGUAUUAUCACCACUACCAACCUCUACCAUACUACUAUUGCUCCCAUCACUUAUACUAUCAAUGCUUUCACAACCUCCAUCAUUACUACCGUCACCUCUACCGUCAUCACCACAAUUAUAUCUUUACAAUAAUCGACCAGACCAAACAUAUUUAUAUA